AGAGCAACCCAAGACUGCAAGUUAAGUGGCAAUGAAUGCCGAUUUGUGUUUUUUUGUCCUCGAAGGAGGAGAGUACCCAUGACUAGCUGUGGGUUCCUAAAAACGUGUUGCAAGAAAAAGGAAAAGGGAAACUGUGCAUCGAUACUGGGGAAGUGCCAAAAUACCUCUAAUAACUGUUAUGGACUUGUACACCAAAAAAUGCCAUGUCCCGUUGGACAGCGGUGCUGUGUCGCCACUGUGCACUAGUCAAAGUAGAUAUGCCAUUUUUCAUGAGUUUCAUUUGGGCAGGUUGGUUCAUCGAGUAAUGCCAAUAAAGCUUGCUCUUCAAAGCA